AUCGCUUCUCGGCCUUUUGGCUAAGAUCAAAGUGUAGUAUCUGUUCUUCCAGCGCACCUUCACGAGGANCCUGGGACACACUCAACAACCCUGU